rnacentral:rRNA from 1 species
CAGUCGAACGGACUCGGAUUGAAACCUAGUGAUUUCCGAGUUAGUGGCGGACGGGUGAGUAACGCGUGGAUAACCUGCCGUAUGCAGGGGGAUAACAGUUGGAAACAGCUGCUAAUACCGCAUAAGCGCACAAUACCGCAUGGUACUGUGUGAAAAGAUUUAUCGGCAUACGAUGGAUCCGCGUCUGAUUAGCUAGUUGGCGGGGUAACGGCUCACCAAGGCAGCGAUCAGUAGCCGGCCUGAGAGGGUGGACGGCCACAUUGGGACUGAGACACGGCCCAAACUCCUACGGGAGGCAGCAGUGGGGAAUAUUGCACAAUGGGGGAAACCCUGAUGCAGCGACGCCGCGUGAGUGAAGAAGUAUCUCGGUACGUAAAGCUCUAUCAGCAGGGAAGAUAAUGACGGUACCUGACCAAGAAGCCCCGGCUAACUACGUGCCAGCAGCCGCGGUAAUACGUAGGGGGCAAGCGUUAUCCGGAUUUACUGGGUGUAAAGGGAGCGUAGACGGCAGCACAAGUCUGGAGUGAAAUCCCGGGGCUUAACCCCGGAACUGCUUUGGAAACUGUGCGGCUGGAGUGCAGGAGGGGUAAGCGGAAUUCCUAGUGUAGCGGUGAAAUGCGUAGAUAUUAGGAGGAACACCGGUGGCGAAGGCGGCUUACUGGACUGUAACUGACGUUGAGGCUCGAAAGCGUGGGGAGCAGACAGGAUUAGAUACCCUGGUAGUCCACGCCGUAAACGAUGAUUACUAGGUGUCGGGGGACCAAGGUCCUCCGGUGCCGGC